GAUCUUGGGUCGGGGGGAGCGGUCCGCCCCUUGUGGGUGUGCACUGGUCCACCCGGCCUUUCUGCCGGGGACGCGCUCCUGGCCUUCGCUGGUCGGGACGCGGAGUCGGCGAUGUUACUUUGAAAAAAUUAGAGUGCUCAAAGCAAGCCUAUGCUCUGAAUACAUUAGCAUGGAAUAACGUGAUAGGACUCUGGUCCUGUUGUGUUGGUCUUCGGGACCGGAGUAAUGAUUAAUAGGGACAGUUGGGGGCAUUCGUAUUUCAUUGUCAGAGGUGAAAUUCUUGGAUUUAUGAAAGACGAACUUCUGCGAAAGCAUU
rnacentral:rRNA from 1 species